rnacentral:rRNA from 1 species
UACGUAGGGUGCGAGCGUUAAUCGGAAUUACUGGGCGUAAAGCGUGCGCAGGCGGUUUUUUAAGCCAGAUGUGAAAUCCCCGGGCUUAACCUGGGAAUGGCAUUUGGGACUGCAAGGCUCGAGUGCGGCAGAGGAGACUGGAAUUCCUGGUGUAGCAGUGAAAUGCGUAGAUAUCAGGAGGAACACCGGUGGUGUAGACGGCUUCCUGGACCACAACUGACGCUGAGACACGAAAGCGUGGGGAGCAAACAGG